rnacentral:lncRNA from 1 species
GGGUGGUACAUGUGUAUUUGAUAGUACUCUGAGUUGGCAUCCAGAAAGCUUAACACCUAAUGGUAUGAGGCUUCAUCCACUAGGGAAAGAGUAUGCAUAUUUAGGAUAUGCUUUAUUGAAGUCAGUGAAGUCGGUGUACAUCUGCCAUAAAAUGCCUGACUUCUUCACAAGGACCACAUUGGAGAGCCAAGUGGUGUACUUGACCUC